ensembl:lncRNA
GGGAGGCUUCAGCUGGCAGCAAGAGGUGCUGGCAUGCGCACAUAGGGAAUGGCUACUGAACAAGAAGAAAGAUGACUGCACUGGAAAGAGGCCUAACAAGAUGGAAGGGAAAGGGAUAAUGCACAUAUUCAUACUGUUUGCAGAUCAAAAGAAGGUGCGUAAUCCAAGGAAGAGCUGUGUGGUCUUCAGUGAAAGUUAAUGAUGCUUGCAUCUUCAUUAGUCCUGUAACCUGUGGUUGAACUUGCAUGAAGAAAGAUAAAGUGGGAUACCUGGAAAGGAUUAAAGAGAGGAACAGUAGCACUGUGCAAACAGAACAUAGAGAUGAGUUUUGUCUUUCCUAUUUACUUUUUAAAGACAGACUUCUAUACUGAAAUCUCAAUGCCUCUGUUAAGCAAUGAACAAAUUCAUCAAGGAUAGCUCAAAAAUCACAG